UGAUGAGCCAACUGGAGAGUCCGCUGCAUGAGGAAGUGUUUGAGUAAUUAGGAGAAAAUGGAGUAAGGAGCAGGUUGGGAACAAGGUCCUCCGCUGGUGGAAGGUUGAGAGCAGAGUCCAGCCCUCAGGGCAGGUGUAAGGGACAGUCAGUUGAUGAGGAAGCCAGGGUGUAAGAUUCGAGCCACAGGAGGAUAUACCAGAGUCCUCCCCCCUACCCCCUUCAGCCUCUCAAUAGAUCAUUCAUCAGACACUCAGAUCUGUCUAAAUGACAUAUUGUUGUCACAUGAAGCAAUGGACAAGGGGCCCCACCUGAUCACCUUUGUUUAAUUUGAGAUUGAAUUUGAGAGAGACUGAAAUGGAGACUUAUGUCUGAAGAACAUUUGAAGAAUAAAGUAACAUUUGAUGGACAGAGAACAGAGAUUUAAUUUAAGAUUAAUGAAUGCUUCGGGGCUGGGGAUAUAAUGUAGUGGUAGGGCACUUGCCUAGUAUGUGCAAGGUCCUGGGUUCAUUUUUCAGCAUAGGAAAAAGAAGAGAGUGAGG
rnacentral:lncRNA from 1 species